rnacentral:rRNA from 1 species
AUGGGUGGACGGGAUAAGUGCUGAAAGCAUCUAAGCAUGAAGCCCCCCUCAAGAUGAGAUUUCCCAUUACGCAAGUAAGUAAGAUCCCUCAAAGACGAUGAGGUAGAUAGGUUCGAGGUGGAAGUGUGGUGACACAUGGAGCUGACGAAUACUAAUCGAUCGAGGACUUAACCAAAA